rnacentral:rRNA from 1 species
ACGAACGCUGGCGGCGUGCUUAACACAUGCAAGUCGAACGGUGAAGCGCCUUCCUUUUUGGUGGGUGUGGAUGAGUGGCGAACGGGUGAGUAACACGUGAGUAACCUGCCCCCCUCUUCUGGAUAACCGCAUGAAAGUGUGGCUAAUACGGGAUAUUCUGGGUCUGUCGCAUGAUGGGUCUGGGAAAGAUAUUGUUUCGGUGGGGGAUGGGCUCGCGGCCUAUCAGCUUGUUGGUGGGGUGAUGGCCUACCAAGGCGGUGACGGGUAGCCGGCCUGAGAGGGUGGACGGUCACACUGGGACUGAGACACGGCCCAGACUCCUACGGGAGGCAGCAGUGGGGAAUAUUGCACAAUGGGCGCAAGCCUGAUGCAGCGACGCCGCGUGAGGGAUGGAGGCCUUCGGGUUGUGAACCUCUUUCGCCAGUGAAGCAGGCCUGCCUCGUUUGUGGGUGGGUUGACGGUAGCUGGAUAAGAAGCGCCGGCUAACUACGUG